AUUGAACGCUGGCGGAAUGCUUUACACAUGCAAGUCGAACGGCAGCACGGACUUCGGUCUGGUGGCGAGUGGCGAACGGGUGAGUAAUGUGUCGGAACGUGCCCAGUCGUGGGGGAUAACGUAGUGAAAAUUACGCUAAUACCGCAUACGAUCUAUGGAUGAAAGCGGGGGAUCGCAAGACCCCGCGCGAUUGGAGCGGCCGAUAUCAGAUUAGGUAGUUGGUGGGGUAAAGGCCCACCAAGCCAACGAUCUGUAGCUGGCCUGAGAGGACGACCAGCCACACUGGAACUGAGACACGGUCCAGACUCCUACGGGAGGCAGCAGUGGGGAAUUUUGGACAAUGGGCGAAAGCCUGAUCCAGCCAUUCCGCGUGCAGGAUGAAGGCCCUCGGGUUGUAAACUGCUUUUGUACAGAACGAAAAGGUUUCUACUAAUACUAGGAGCUCAUGACGGUACUGUAAGAAUAAGCACCGGCUAACUACGUGCCAGCCGCCGCAGUAA
rnacentral:rRNA from 1 species